AGAGUUUGAUCCUGGCUCAGAACGAACGCUGGCGGCGUGCCUAACACAUGCAAGUCGAGCGAGAAAUUCCGGGCUUGCUCGGAAAAGUAAAGCGGCGCACGGGUGAGUAACGCGUGGGUAACCUGCCCUAGAGUGGGGAAUAACUCGCCGAAAGGCGUGCUAAUUCCGCAUACGACCUUUAGCUAUAAGGCUGGAGGGGGAAGAUAGCCUCUACUUGUAAGCUGUCGCUCUUGGAUGGGCCCGCGUUGGAUUAGCUAGUUGGUGGGGUAAAGGCUCACCAAGGCUGCGAUCCAUAGCUGGUCUGAGAGGAUGGUCAGCCACAUUGGAACUGAGACACGGUCCAGACUCCUACGGGAGGCAGCAGUGAGGAAUAUUGCGCAAUGGGGGAAACCCUGACGCAGCGACGUCGCGUGGGUGAUGAAGGCCUUCGGGUUGUAAAGCCCUGUCAGAGGGGAAGAAAGGGGAUAUGGUUAAUAUCCAUAUCCAUUGAUGGUACCCUCAGAGGAAGCACCGGCUAACUCCGUGCCAGCAGCCGCGGUAAUACGGAGGGUGCAAGUGUUGUUCGGAUUUACUGGGCGUAAAGAGCACGUAGGCGGAUAGGUAAGUCAGGUGUGAAAGCCCGAGGCUCAACCUCGGAAUUGCAUUUGAUACUGCUUGUCUUGAGUAUGGUAGAG
rnacentral:rRNA from 1 species